CUCGAAAGAAAUUUCACCGAGUCUUCGAUGAUUUCGACGACUCCUGCCGUCGCCAUGCUCGUCUCUUUCGGGCCGAGACGACUCGUCGCUUUCUCCUCUGCUCCAAAAUCAAUUUGGGAUUGAGAGCUUGCUUCAUUGAGCAUAGACAUAGUCGGAGAGAGCGAUGGCCUUUGAUGGGUGUGUACAGAAAUUGGAUUUCUGACAAGUGAGAAAUCUCUUAAUCGAAAAAGAAGAGUGGUUAAGGUUAGAAGUAACAAAGGUUUAGGGUUUUACGGCGGAGAUAACAACAACAAGGCUCUGAUUCUCCCCACCGAAAAUCUCUCCGAUAUGAGCUCUGAUUCUCGUCGACUGUGAUCACGAGCCAUUCUCGGGUAAGAAGAUGAUUCCUUCACCUUUCGCUGUGGAUUGUUGGGCACUUUCAUCUUGUUCAAUCUCAAAAACCCAUCACCUUCUCUACUUCCAUUGUUGUCUCGUCUCUCGCACUGCAACGGCGUUUUCUUACGCAUCCCUGAGUCCAGUUUCCUUUGUUCCACUCCGUGUAACUCCGUCGGUCAAAAGUAUCAUUGUUGGCAAGAAUGCGUUUUGAGGAUGCUCGAAACUCUUCCACAUAAACUUAUCUCUUUUUGAGAGCAAAGGUGAUUUUGUAGAGACAUCAAAGAUGAUUCCACUGUUGAUGCUAGGAAGUCCAUGUCUGCUGCUAAACGUGCUGAGCUUGCUCUCAUCGAGCCAAAACGUGUUAAGAGGUAACUAGUAUUUUCGUCUUUUUUUUGUGCUUCUCUGUUUUACUAAAAUCCUGAUUAAGUUUCGGAUGAACAUGUUGUUUUGGUAAAAACUUCUAAAACUAUUCUUGAUGAUGAUGCAAUGAGGUAUCAGCAAUAAAACUAGAGUUUUUUUA